rfam:Triticum aestivum genome assembly, contig: Triticum_aestivum_CS42_TGACv1_scaffold_289138_4AL
GAUCUACUCCCUUCGUUUGGAAAUACUUAUCAUCAAAAUGAAUGAAAACGGAUGUAUUCAGAACUAAAAUACAUCUAGAUACAUCCAUUUUAAUGACAAGUAUUUUCGGAUGAAGGGAGUAAACU